UGAGGAAUAUUGGGCAAUGCCCGCCAGGGUGACCCAGCAACGCCGCGUGGAGGAUGAAUGUCGUAAGAUUGUAAACUCCUGUUAGAGGGGAAGAAUAGUACCGGUUGGACAGGUAUAUGACUGUACCCUCAGAGAAAGCCCCGGCUAACUACGUGCCAGCAGCCGCGGUAAUACGUAGGGGGCAAGCGUUGUCCGGAUUUACUGGGUGUAAAGGGCGCGCAGGCGGGAUAAAAAGUCAGUGGUGAAAUCCUACAGCUUAACUGUAGAACUGCCUAUGAUACUUUUAUCCUUGAGUUCGGGAGAGAGCGACGGAAUUC
rnacentral:rRNA from 1 species